GGGGGGUGUUGCGCAACAACAAAACUACUUCACAACUUUCUCAUUACUUUGCAUUUCUUGUUAGAUAAAUUUUACAAAAAUUCUCCCCUUAAACAACUGUUGAAUUUAAACAAACUGGUUUAAAUCACCACUAGGAUAUCCAGGGACACUGUGGUAUGAUGACCUGCCUGCCCACAUGCUGAAAUAAAGCAUAGGUUUCAAAUGCACUUUUUAGUAUUAUAUCUCUGAAACUAAACGACAGUACAACAGUUGCAUUUAUCAUGUAACAAUUGUAAAUAAAAAUAUCAGGUGAGCGACACAGGGUCCUUGGACCCUCUAGUUUUCAUUUAUCCACACAUUGUUUUAAACAUUUUUUCUGUAUAAUUUUUUACGUUUCUUGGUUAAUUUUUAAAUUAUGAUUGUUUUCAAAAUUUGUUCAUGUCCCUAACCCUGUAAUACACAGAAUUUAUUUAAACAUAUCGAUACCUAUUUUAAGAUAUUUUUAAAAUGAUCUUCACUAUCAAUUUAUUUUUUUUAUCAAAGAGAAACCGUGUUAAAUAUUGUUAUCUAAUUGUAUAAUAUGAAAAUAACUCCAUGCUGUAAGAGAAGUAACUCUUUCUGCACCAAAUUACAAAUAGAAUUUAGUAAUUAUAUAACUAAAGUUUAUUUUGUUUGACUUUGAAAUUGUAAACUUAGUUCCUAUCUUUUUGAUUAUUAUUACUGUAGAUACUACAUAGCAACAGAAUUGUAGGUAAUUGUGCAACUUUAUAAGUUUAGGGACAAAUAUAAUCAUUUUAGCAAGAGAUCAGACAUAAGCCAAUCUUCCCUCCCAAAAUCAACUUAUUUCUCAAAUAGGCCUGAUUUUAGUAUUUGUUGUAGAAGUAUUUUGAUAUUGUUUUUGAUACAUGUUUUAUUUGUUGCUGAUAUCGAGAAAUAUGUUAAUGUAAACAUACUGAUUUGUCACAUAUGUUUAUUAUUUUCCAGAAAUAAAAAA
rnacentral:lncRNA from 1 species